rnacentral:rRNA from 1 species
UACGAAGGGGGCUAGCGUUGUUCGGAAUCACUGGGCGUAAAGCGUACGUAGGCGGAUCGUUAAGUCAGGGGUGAAAGCCUGGAGCUCAACUCCAGAACUGCCUUUGAUACUGGCGAUCUUGAGACCGGGAGAGGUGAGUGGAACUGCUAGUGUAGAGGUGAAAUUCGUAGAUAUUCGCAAGAACACCAGUGGCGAAGGCGGCUCGCUGGGCCAUACCUGACGCUGAGACGCGAAAGCGUGGGGAGCGAACAGG